AUAUAUGACAAAUAUGAUAAAUAUAUUACAAUGUGUAACAGAAAAACAGCAAAUUAUACCAGAUGCCACCAGGAAAGCUACUGAAGACAUAUGAGAAACAACAAAAAGUGGGGAAGGGAGUGAUGAGACAAUUUAGAAGUGACGGGGGGCACCUAACUAAAGAAUUGUAUUUGUUUCUUAUUCAAAGUCAUGAGAGAAGAGGAAUCUACCUAAAGAAAUCAUGAAUUCGUGACAAGAAGAACUAAAUUAUGUGGAGAACACCAAAUAGCAAACUUAUGUAUGGCAAAAAAAGUAUUUUUGGCUAAAUAUUUUAUAAAAACCAUUUCAGUGAAGAUUACCGUCAAGACAACUGGAGAGCAGCCAUAUAACUUUUGAGUCUAGCAUAACAAGGGGAAGAGAGAUAGUAAUCUAGCUAUCCAAAAAAAGAAAAAGGAAGAGCACUAUUUUUCAUGUAAAACCUAAACUUUAAUACAG
rnacentral:misc_RNA from 1 species